rnacentral:rRNA from 1 species
AUUGAACGCUGGCGGCAUGCCUUACACAUGCAAGUCGAACGGUAACAGGUCUUCGGAUGCUGACGAGUGGCGAACGGGUGAGUAAUACAUCGGAACGUGCCCGAGAGUGGGGGAUAACGGGGCGAAAGCUCUGCUAAUACCGCAUACGAUCUCAGGAUGAAAGCGGGGGACCUUCGGGCCUCGCGCUCACGGAGCGGCCGAUGGCAGAUUAGGUAGUUGGUGGGAUAAAAGCUUACCAAGCCUGCGAUCUGUAGCUGGUCUGAGAGGAUGAUCAGCCACACUGGGACUGAGACACGGCCCAGACUCCUACGGGAGGCAGCAGUGGGGAAUUUUGGACAAUGGGCGCAAGCCUGAUCCAGCAAUGCCGCGUGCAGGAUGAAGGCCUUCGGGUUGUAAACUGCUUUUGUACGGAACGAAAAGGCUCUAGAUAAUACCUGGGGCUCAUGACGGUACCGUAAGAAUAAGCACCGGCUAACUACGUG